UACGAAGGGGGCUAGCGUUGCUCGGAAUCACUGGGCGUAAAGGGUGCGUAGGCGGGUCUUUAAGUCAGGGGUGAAAUCCUGGAGCUCAACUCCAGAACUGCCUUUGAUACUGAGGAUCUUGAGUUCGGGAGAGGUGAGUGGAACUGCGAGUGUAGAGGUGAAAUUCGUAGAUAUUCGCAAGAACACCAGUGGCGAAGGCGCUCACUGGCCCGAUACUGACGCUGAGGCACGAAGGCCAGGGGAGCAAACAGG
rnacentral:rRNA from 1 species